UGGGGAAUGAUUGCACAAUGGGCGAAAGCCUGAUGCAGCAACGCCGCGUGAGGGACGACGGCCUUCGGGUUGUAAACCUCUUUAGCAAGGAAGAAGCGAAAGUGACGGNUACUUGCAGAAAAAUGCGCCGGCUAACUACGUGCCAGCAGCCGCGGUAAUACGUAGGGCGCAAGCGUUAUCCGGAAUUAUUGGGCGUAAAGAGCUCGUAGGCGGUUUGUCGCGUCUGCUGUGAAAAGCCCGAGGCUCAACCUCGGGCCUGCAGUGGGUACGGGCAGACUAGAGUGCGGUAGGGGAGAUUGGAACUCCUGGUGUAGCGGUGGAAUGCGCAGAUAUCAGGAAGAACACCGAUGGCGAAGGCAGAUCUCUGGGCCGUAACUGACGCUGAGGAGCG
rnacentral:rRNA from 1 species